AGCAAUAACUCAUUAGCAGAAGCUCUGUAUGUGUGUGUUCUAUUUGCCACAUAUCUACAAGGGAAUUUCUUCAGAGUGCAGAGAAACCUGUGAAAUGUCAGAAUAUUCUAAAUCUUUCCUUGAGAUGUCAGCCAAGAGCUUCAGUAUAGUCACAGUCUCUACUGUGCUUAUUUUCUUCCUAAAGGUACAACCCUCAAUACAAGCGCCGUUGAAUGGGUCAAAAUGGUCUUAUGUUGGUCCUGAUGGAGAGAAGGCCUGGGCAAUGAAAUACCCAUUUUGUGGAGGAGUAUUCCAAUCGCCUAUAGAUUUCCACAAAGAUAUUCUCCAGUAUGACUCUAAUCUCUUGCCUUUAGAAUUCAUAGGCUAUAAUGUGCCCUCCACUGACCACUUUACAUUGACCAAUAAUGGUCAUUCAGUGAAAAUGUAUCUGUCACCUACUAUGUACAUCAGAAACCUCCCGUUUGAAUACACUGCAUCUCAGCUUCACCUACACUGGGGGAACAGAAACAAGUCAGAAGGCUCAGAGCACACAGUCAGUGGGAAGCAUUUUGCAGCAGAGCUGCAUAUCGUACACUAUAACUCUGAGAAAUAUCCAGAUAUAACAGCAGCAAUGGACAAGGCAGAUGGACUGGCGGUUUUGGCUAUUCUCCUUGAGAUUGGACCCUUCAACCCAUCCUAUGAAAAGAUCUUCAGGCACUUCCGGAACGUGAAAUAUAAGGAUCAGGUGGUCCAAGUUCCCGGUUUCAAUAUUCAAGAACUGCUUCCAGACAGACUGGAUGAGUACUAUCGCUAUGAAGGGUCCCUGACAACUCCUCCUUGCUACCCUAGUGUUCUCUGGACAGUUUUCCGACACGCCGUUAAAAUUUCUCAGGAGCAGUUACUGGCACUGGAAACAGCCAUGUACUGCACAGAGAGAGAUGACCCAGAGCCCCUGGAAAUGGUUAACAACUUCCGAAAUGUUCAGGAAUUUCAUGAAAGACAGGUUUUUAUCUCCUUCCGUGAAGAUGCCUUUAAGCCACGUUCUCAACAGCAAAGCAUUUCACUCUUCAGCUGUCCACGUUCAACAGUGUUCUUCAGCCUUGGGAAAACAAAAGACAUCAAAUUCAACACCCUUAGUUGCCUGUGUUUAGUUCCUCAGUUUCGCUUAUGCGCUCCUACGCAUUAUAGCAUCGAACGCCACAGAGUUUCUGAUCUGCUAUGCCUGUGCCUGCAUGUUGGCUUUGUGUCUUCAGUUUUGUUGUGUCUGCUGUAAUAGCCUGCGUUCUGGGAGUUCUCUUCAUUCUUGCCAUAGCCUUCUGGCUGCUGAGGAGGAAAAGCUGCAAAAUGGGAGGCGAAGACAACAGAGGAACCAUCUACAAACCAGGCAUGUAUAAAGAGGAAGAAGACAUCUCCAAACUUUGAUGCCCUGCUCUGUAACAAAAGCCUCUUUUCAUAGCACUGAUUUAUUUUGCAUUGGUGGAACACGCUGCUUGUUCUUGGCUGACGAUAAACCUCAAGAGUGUCCUAAAAAUAUACCAGCCAAAAGUUUCCUGUAGCCCUUGUUCUCUUGUUUUACAAAGAGAUAUGAUCAUGAAUACUCCUGAGCUAAAUUCCUCACCACAUUCUUUUCAUAUUUGCUGCUUACUGAGUCUGGGUCUCUUAAUUGAUUUUACAGUUAAUCCUAAACUCCAAUUUUAUGGUUUGUUUAGCACAGAUUUUCCCACAGGUAUUUAAAUCUGAAGACACUCAUUAAGCUCCAGGUGCUCUUCCCUGCUAAAUCCAGGUAUUAUUUUUUAGCAUCAUGAAGACAAAGCGCAAUGUGUCAUUCAGACCAGAAUUUGAACUAGGUCGUUCGGCAGAUGUAGUCUUUAGAACCACAGCAAAUGAUGUUAGUACAUUCACCAGUGGCUUUGUAACAGAAAUAAUAAAGGAAAAACCAAGUGUAAAUGCAAUGAGAGCCACAGGGAUAUUUAAUGGCGUUCAAACCCAGGAACUCAGUGCUGAAAAAACACUACUGUUAGAGGAAAAGCUCACUUUCCAGUUAUUACAUAACCUCACAAAUCUGUCUUGGAGGUCAGCCUCUGUCUGUCACUGGAAUUACAGAAGCAUCUUGUCUUAUUCUCCUGCUCCUAUUUAUAGUGUGUGUAUGACUGAUGUGGAGAUAAUGCAGUUGCUGCUGCUUUUAAACAGGUUUGCCAUUUAAUUACGAAAACUCGAUUGAUUUUACAGUAUAAAUUUCAGCCGCAAUUAUACAGUAGAUGGUUUUGCUGAUUUAGUUCUCUGAAUUUAGUAAUUUAAUUAUCAGAAAGUAAUCAAAAUUAUCUUUUCAAAUCUCAUAAGCUAGAUCCUCGAGUCUCAUUAUGCAUUUUAGAAAGGGAGAAGCAUAAACCUAACUUUGUUUCCACUGAAGACAAUGUGAAAUAUCAUUCACUUCAGGAAGAAUAAGGUUUAGACAGCCUAGCCCCAGAUGUAGACGGAAUUCCUCUUGAAUUUGACAUCUAAAGUGAAGGCCCACAGUCCUUGUACUUCAGUAUACUGGCAGGCAGUGAUUGAGCACAGGCUUAUACCUAAAAUAACUUCAGGUCUGAAUGCUGCUAAACACUACUGGGGAAAUUCCAAUCUGAACUUUACGCUUAGAUCCAUUCUCCAUUCAGUAGCACCACCACCAUACUUGUAAUUCUAACUAAAUAAAUUGUGCGUUUUUUCCUUUGAAGAUGGGAGAUGCAUAGUUACGUUUUAGAUUCCUCCCCUUCUGGACGCCAGAAAAUUGUCUGAUGUCAAAAGCAACCUAUUGAGUGAAAGGAGAAAUAACUUAUUAAUACUUACUGUACAUGAAAUUUAGGACCGUGAUCUAAGUAAAUUGCAUUUACCAGCAUUUUCAUAUUGUGUUAACAAGCAUAUAAAUAUCAUGUUGUUGAAAUGUUUGAAAUAAUUUAAAAAGCAGCUUUUGUGUGCAAUGGGAAACAUUACCUAUCUUUGAAUGCAGGUGUUUAAAAGGCAAGAGUAGAUAAUAAACUUUUAUGACGUUUC